rfam:Callithrix jacchus chromosome 10, whole genome shotgun sequence
GGCUGUGAGGGAGAGCUGGCUGUGACAUGUCACCCCAUUGUUUGCCAAGGUGUAUUUGGCAGAACUGGCUGGUUAGGCAGGUGUUCCCUUCCUUCCUCACUGCUCCCUGUUCUUCCCUCCCAAAGCCACAUGCUUGGUUGAACAAGAUGACCAUCCCUGACAGAGGAGGGCUGGUCUUCAGUCAAGGGUAUACAAGUAGCUACACUCCCGUGCUCAAACCUUCAAACAAGCUCUCAUAGUUGGAAUCUAAGAGCGAUGCUGAUGUCACCAUGUUAUCAAGUGAAGCUUCCAGGAAUGGGGCAUCAAACUAAGCCAAUUUGUCCUAUGGA